rnacentral:rRNA from 1 species
UACGUAGGUGGCAAGCGUUGUCCGGAUUUACUGGGCGUAAAGAGCGCGCAGGCGGUCGUGCAAGUCGCGUGUGAAAGCCCCCGGCUCAACUGGGGAGGGUCACGCGAUACUGCUCGACUUGAAGGCAGGAGAGGGAUGCGGAAUUCCAGGUGUAGCGGUGAAAUGCGUAGAUAUCUGGAGGAACACCGGUGGCGAAGGCGGCAUCCUGGACCGGCAUUGACGCUGAGGCACGAAAGCGUGGGGAGCAAACAGG